rnacentral:rRNA from 1 species
GAUGAACGCUGGCGGCGUGCCUAAUACAUGCAAGUCGAACGAAUCACUUAUAGUGGUUAGUGGCGAACGGGUGAGUAACACGUAGGUAACCUGCCCUUAAGACGAGGAUAACCGUUGGAAACGAUGGCUAAAACUGGAUAGGAACAUUGGAGGCAUCUCUGAUGUUUUAAAAGACCUAGCAAUAGGUAUGCUUAAGGAGGGGCCUGCGGCGCAUUAGUUAGUUGGUGGGGUGAUGGCCUACCAAGACAAUGAUGCGUAGCCGGACUGAGAGGUUGAACGGCCACAUUGGGACUGAGAAACGGCCCAAACUCCUACGGGAGGCUG